rnacentral:rRNA from 1 species
CCUACGGGCGGCAGCAGUGGGGUAUAUUGGACAAUGGGGGCAACCCUGAUCCAGCCAUGCCGCGUGUGUGAAGAAGGCCCUCGGGUUGUAAAGCACUUUCAGUGAGGAAGAACGCCUGGUGGUUAAUACCCAUCAGGAAAGACAUCACUCACAGAAGAAGCACCGGCUAACUCCGUGCCAGCAGCCGCGGUAAUACGGAGGGUGCGAGCGUUAAUCGGAAUUACUGGGCGUAAAGCGCGCGUAGGUGGCUUGAUAAGCCGGUUGUGAAAGCCCCGGGCUCAACCUGGGAACGGCAUCCGGAACUGUCAAGCUAGAGUGCAGGAGAGGAAGGUAGAAUUCCCGGUGUAGCGGUGAAAUGCGUAGAGAUCGGGAGGAAUACCAGUGGCGAAGGCGGCCUUCUGGACUGACACUGACACUGAGGUGCGAAAGCGUGGGUAGCAAACAGGAUUAGAUACCCGGGUAGUC